UGGAGGGGAGGACCAGAAUGGGGCCAGGAAGCCAAACGCAAGGGGGCCCUGGAGCAGAGUUUACUCCUGGCUGAGCGAGGCGGCAGGUACGGAGGACAGAAGGCCAGGAAAUUUGGUGUCCGGAGCCUCGAGCGUGGGCCUGGGCUCUGGCUGACCUGAUCGUGGGCCGGUUCCUCAGCCUCGAGUGAAAUGAAGGCGACGCCAGGGUUGUCGUAAGCCCCAAAUGCCACGAUGUCCGAGAAAGCGUUUGGCAAACACUGAAGUUCUGUUCAGUGACUCAGGUGAGUUAUGAUUAGUGAGAAAAGGGCGCCGGGGCUACUGAAGAGCAGAGGGAACAAGAGCUCCCAGGCGGGGGCAGGGCGGGGAGGGAGCACCUGGCGGAGGACAUGGGGUCCAGUCCAGGCUCGUCCCUGCCGUCCUCACUGUGACUAACCUGGGGCCACCCUCAGGACACAGCAAUUCAGGGGAAGGAGCCUUGGUCGGGCAUCGUUUCACCUGACGUCCAACGACGUUAUUUCUCAUUGAAUCUCCUCGUACACACAACACGGGGUGAAGAGUGCCUGCCAGCAAAGGGCACCACAACAUCUAGAAAGAUGCAUUUUGAUCGGCAGAAACUGAGUAUCAAACGAGGAAGGGUUUUUCCUACCCCAACGCCCUGCACCCUCUGGGGGCGGGGAGGUGACCUCCAGAUACUGUCAGUAAAGAAACUGGCCUCAGGUCGGUGUCCCUAACUCAGCUCCCCAGCGCUUGGCUGACUCCAGGCACAGACGAGUGCAACCACCUGUGUGUUCUUCCCCUCACACACCCUGAAGGCUGUGUCUUGCAUUUUGUGAAUUUUCUUUCCCCUAAAAGGUAGCUGUGCACUGUCUUCCUUUCAACAACGGUUCAUCAGCCAAAAAAAAAAAAAAAUUUGUGACACGUGGGAGGAAGUGUGAACAGUGACAAGCCCUACACCUCCCCCAGCUCCUGACCCAGGGACCACAAAUACGGCUGCAACUUUCAUGGAGGAAUUAAGGCCUCCAAAGGAAUUCUAAUUAGCAGUGACUUAAGCUCGGCUCUUGGCUGAGAAGUCCCUGGCUCGGGGAAUGGCCGACCUAUCAGGUCCCGUCCCCAUGACACCGUGGGAGGAGCUCUGACGGGCUCCACGUUCCAGAUGUGGCCGUGGAGACUUAGAGCGAUGACUCUCCCAGAGUCAGGAAUGGUAUGUCAUUAGGUUAUCAACAUGAGCUUCAGAACUGGCUCUUUUAGGACGUGAAUGAACUCAUCUACAAAACAGAAACAGACUCUCAGACACAAGCAGGUUUGCUGAGCCCUGGUCCAGAGUCACAGCAGAUAAACCGCUUUCCAUAUCCCACUUGCUACUUACUUCCAAAUGAUGCUUACGAGGAAAGGUCCAAAUCCAGGAAGAUGCUGGCAAAGCGAAACCAUCAUCACAGCCAGUUACAGCUGCUUCCUUUUAAAACCAACGUGCCUAGUUCUACACAAGGCAAGUCCCAACCAAGCAAAGAGAAAGAAGACAAAGCCUACCGUUUCUGACCCCAGAUCAUUCGAACUACAGGACGAGGGAAAGCGAGCGAGGAGAAUGGCAGAGGGAACGAAGGGGAGAGGAGGAAUCCCCAAGCCUCCGUCCUGGAAAUGCGCUGGAGGCUACCCACCCUCGGUGACUGGGGACCCACUCAGCUCCAGCGGCGGGAAGUCAGACGGCAUUCGUCCUCAUGCGGUUUCUAAACUUCCUAAGAUAAAUCCACCAGGUUUCUCUGCCAAUAGUAAAGCUCUCACUCAAAGCAGGCUGGGUGGCCUCGGGUGGCUCCUCUGGGCUGGAGGGGCGUUGGAUUCACCAGGGUAAACGAUGCUGUCACCACCAACUCGAAAGGCCACCUAUCAACAUGCCACGUGCCACGGCCUGGAGCGCGUGCACAUACAUGCACGUAUGCACCCCUUUCCCCCAAGAGGCUGAGGCCAGGACGGCACCCACAUCAGGUGGGUGAAGAGCAGGUCCGUCCUGCCCGCUGAGUGCCGUCUCCACCCACAGAGAGCGCAGAGACCAGACGCGGGCCUGGGCCACCGACGCUGGGAAGGCGCCCGGUGGCAGCGGGGCUGAAGCCGGAAGAGGGAUCCUCGACCUUCAGGCGAGUUCUCUCUGGUGGGGGGGGGAACGGGAGCAGAGGCCGGGUUGGGGAUAAGGAGGAGUGUCUGGGUCACUG